AUCCAAUUGAUAGUAAUUUGUGACCCCUCAGUGGUCAUAAUUAUUUACAUUAGGGUGUAAAAGUUAUAAAGAAGGGAGGUAUGAUAGGAUUUGCAUGCGAUUUUGUCCCACAUCGUCUCCAAAGCAAAAAAACCAUUCUUUUGUUAAUCUAUUUAGCGGCCUCUAGUUAUGAACUUCAACACACAGCUAUUGGGCCCGCCUAAGUGCGGGCCCUUGAUGGCUCACAUCACCUUGUAGGAAGGUCCUUCCAAUGUUGCAGUAUGCUGCAAAUCUUGUCCGCACGUUUGCUGGCUCUUGGCUGUCAGCACCCCUCCCCAUCUGCGAUUCAAGCAAUUAAACACACCUUUCUUGGUGCUAUCCUACCUGUGAUUCAAGUAAUCAAACACACCUUUCUUGGUGCUGCCCGAGUUACAAAUCCAGGCUAUUAAACAACCUUUCUUGGUGCUCAAGCUAUUGGGCCCGCCUAAGUGCGGGCCCUUGAUGACUCGCAUGACCUUGUAGGAAGGUCCUUCCAAUGAGUUGCAGUAUGCUGCAAAUCUUGUCCGUGCGUUUGCUGGCACAUAGGGAUCCAGGUUCUCGACUGUCAGAACCCCUCCCCAUCUGCGAUUUGAGCAAUUAAAUACACCUUUCUUGGUGCUAUCCCACCUCUGCAAUUCAAGCAAUCAAUCACACCUUUCUUGGUGCUGCCCGAGUUACAAAUCCAAGCAAUUAAACACACGUUUCUUGGUGCUCAAGGAAGUAGUCCACACUAUCAACUGUGCAUUUGCACAUGAAGAACCAGGCGUCUGCUGACAGAUGUGAUCCUUUGCGUUCUCAUGUUCUCGGCUGUCUGCAUUGGACCGAGUUGCGACCCAAGCUAAUAAACAUAUCCUUCUUGGUGCUCAAGGAAGUAGUCUGCAUUCUCAACUGUGCAUUUGCACAUGUACUGGGUGACAGCUAACGUAUGUGAUCCUUCGCGUUCUCAUGUUCUCGGCUGUCAGCA